rnacentral:rRNA from 1 species
AUGCACGCUGGCGGCGUGCCUAAUACAUGCAAGUCGAGCGCACAGAUAAGGAGCUUGCUCCUUUGACGUUAGCGGCGGACGGGUGAGUAACACGUGGGUAACCUACCUAUAAGACUGGGAUAACUUCGGGAAACCGGAGCUAAUACCGGAUAACAUUUGGAACCGCAUGGUUCUAAAGUGAAAGAUGGUUUUGCUAUCACUUAUAGAUGGACCCGCGCCGUAUUAGCUAGUUGGUAAGGUAACGGCUUACCAAGGCAACGAUACGUAGCCGACCUGAGAGGGUGAUCGGCCACACUGGAACUGAGACACGGUCCAGACUCCUACGGGAGGCAGCAGUAGGGAAUCUUCCGCAAUGGGCGAAAGCCUGACGGAGCAACGCCGCGUGAGUGAUGAAGGGUUUCGGCUCGUAAAACUCUGUUAUUAGGGAAGAACAAAUGUGUAAGUAACUGUGCACGUCUUGACGGUACCUAAUCAGAAAGCCACGGCUAACUACGUG